CAGGCUCCACACACCUCCCAGCUCCCUCCCCUCCCCAGCAGCAAGCCCAGAGCAGCCCUGGGCCCUGUGAGGGCUCUGUGUGCCCAGGAAGCACCUCUGUGCUCAGCACAGCACCUGCACAUCCCAGUACAUUGGCCAUCCCAGUGUAUUGGACAUACCAGUAGAUAUUGGCUGCCUGUGAUCCUCGACGUAGCUCCUGGAUUAAAUGCCCUGACGAAGUAUCAAAUAUCCUUAUAAGGGUCCCCUUGAAAAGGAAUCAAGCCUUGUAUUAGGAAAGGCAGAAGACUCUCUUUACAUCUGUGAAUGCAGCCUAAAACUCUGUCUGUCUGACCAGUAUGUCCCUGCACACACCUCUGGGGGUUUUCUUGAUAGAUUUGAGAACCUGUUUUAAUUUUGGAGAAGAACAUUGAUUACCCCCACACCAGCCCCACAGUGUUACAGUGCUGUGGUGCACAACCUUGUCACUUGGCUCCUCAGCUCAAGUUUCUUUCAGCUCUUUUCUAAAGCACCAGCACAGCCCUGGCCUUGGUUGGCAGACCCUGGAGUGUGCCCAGGCUCUGGGAGUCACUUCUGCCUUGCUCCCUCAGUCAGUGCUGCCAUUUUCAGUGCUACUGUGCAAUUCUUUCCCACAAAUUAUAAUCAGGCUGUGGCUGACUUGUCUUAGAAUUAAUUCAGAGGCUGUCCAUCAUCACCUGCAGUCCUGUUACACGCCUGGUUAACAGCUGCAGCUCUGCAGUCACACACCAGGAGGUAACAGAACCCAGCAGAGAAAGAUUUGGUAAACUCAGCUUAGUUUUGAUUUAAGAGACAGGCUUGGGAUGUUUGCUGACUGUGCUCAGACUCCCUAGUUUGGUUGGAAAAUAAAAGCUGUUUGAACUUUUUCUCUGUACAAAACAAGGAACAUCCUGAUACAAAUGCAGCAGAUAAUGAGUCUACUUAGCAAUGGAGUUGGCAGCUUUAAGAACUCUGUUUAGAAGACAUGCAGCCAUUAAGCUUAGUUAGGAGAGACUGUGGCUGCACUUUCUUUUUUUAAGCUGUUUGAGUGACAGGCUGGGCAGUAGGAACUGUUCAAAGGAGAGACUUGUUGGAUUCAUUUGGCUUUUCCUUGAGAAACUCCAUUCAUUUGAGUGGAAAAAGGCAACAAGUGCUCCUCUUGCCUCAGGGAGAUGGGUCCAUCUGCCUGACAUUCCUUUGGGAGAUGAAGGGCCCUGGCAGCCCUCCCAGGGGUUCCCAGGGAGAGGGCAGGUCUGUCACCAUUUGAGCUGCAGCCUAACCUGAGGUUUUUGUCAGUGUGUUGUGCUCUUUAGUCCCACAGGGGUGCACACACCAUUUCAGAAGGAGGGGGGCAGCCACCCCCUCCUGCUCUGCACUAGGGGCUAAGCCCUGGCAGAACAAAGCCCUCUGGCAGGACAGACCUGUCUGCAAGCAUUUCUUUAGCCAGUAGGUGUGAAGUGAGUUUAAGCAGAAAAUAAUAAAGGUGAAAGAAUACAAAUAAGAUUCUCCUCCUGCUUUUUAAAAAAAUUAACAGUAUCUGUUGAAGAACACAGGAAAGCUGUGAGCUGCUUGGGCCAGGCUUCUGUCACUGAAGAGUCACUGCUCCAGUCAGCUAAAACAUAAGCACUACCUCAGGCACAGCCCUUGGCUGUUGGUGUCUGGGGAUCCCAGAGGAGCAGUGAAGAUAAAGGGAAUGCACAUUCCAGGGACAAAUUUCCCCGGUAGGUAUUUCUCUGUCUUUCCUACGGAGGAUGUGACUUCCUCUUUGUGACACUGGAACACACAGUAGGUCAGAGGCAGGGACAUCACUCUUACUUUUUCUGAUGCUGUUGCAAUUCUUGUUCCCUGCAGGUUUAAAGCAAUACAGCUCAAGACUCCUUCGUGGGCUGGGAUGUCCACGGGAGGCUUCUCCGUGUUGGCCAAAUCCACGAUCUGCACGUGCCCAGUGUGUGUCCCAGGAAAUGCAAGAAGAGAAUUAUUACUAUUUGGACAAAGGACACAGAGACCUGAAAGACACACACACACACACAAAAAAAAAAGAGAAUAACUGGAUUAUUUCCAUAAACCAACGUUUUCAAAUAAUUAUGCAUGUGCCUCUUCAGUGGAAUCCAUCAAACUACCAAUCUCCUGUCCUGCCCUUCCCCUGCUAAGGGAAUGCAGGUACUGGUACCAAGAAAUGCCAGUGUGAAGUCAGAGCAAUGACAAGUCACCAAGGAGCAGCUGCUGUCACUGGCAGCAGCCUGACAGCAGAGUUAUUGCCUCAACCUGCAGCUGUGCUCGUGCCAGCGAGGCCACAGCGAGUUUUGUUCCUCAAAAUCCACAGAAAAAAGAAGAGUUAAAUUAAUGCCCAGCCUAGGAGAUGCCACAAGCUGAAGGCAGUACCUUGGCCCAGAGAAGCCCACAGGAUUCAGCAGUGGCAGCAGUGGAGCCCAGGGAAGCAACGACAGCUGGCACAGCUCCUGCCAUGGUGGUUUUCCUGGGCACAACAAAUGUUGUCCAGAGCCACAAGAGAGAGCACAGAGCCCUACCAACACUGGGGGGUCCUACAGAGAAGCCUUCCAGCCCACUGGAGAGGAGCAAAUCAGCCACGUGUUUCAACAUCAGAACAAACCCACCCUUCAGUUUUCAAACCAGCUUUUGGCUGCCAC